GAUGAAGAACGUAGCGAAAUGCGAUAAGUAAUGCGAAUUGCAGAAUCCGUGAGUCAUCGAAUCUUUGAACGCACAUUGCGCCCCCUGGUAUUCCGGGGGGCAUGCCUGUCCGAGCGUCAUUACAACCCUCAAGCUCAGCUUGGUAUUGGGCCCCGCCGACCCGGCGGGCCCUAAAGUCAGUGGCGGUGCCGUCCGGCUCCGAGCGUAGUAAUUCUUCUCGCUCUGGAGGUCCGGUCGUGUGCUCGCCAGCAACCCCCAAUUUUUUUCAGGUUGACCUCGGAUCAGGUAGGGAUACCCGCUGAACUUAAGCAUAUCAAUAAGCGGAGGA
rnacentral:misc_RNA from 1 species